CCUACGGGCGGCAGCAGUGAGGAAUAUUGGUCAAUGGACGCAAGCCUGAACCAGCCAAGUCGCGUGCAGGAAGACGGCUCUACGAGUUGUAAACUGCUUUUAUACGAGAGUAAAUCGCGACACGUGUACCGUUUUGUAUGUAUUUUAUGAAUAAGGAUCGGCUAACUCCGUGCCAGCAGCCGCGGUAAUACGGAGGAUUCAAGCGUUAUCCGGAUUUAUUGGGUUUAAGGGGUGCGUAGGUGGGUUGAUAAGUUAGUGGUGAAAUUGCGGGGCUCAACCCCUGCACUGCCUUUGAUACUGUCGGGCUAGAGUGUAGUAGAGGUAUGCGGAAUGUAUGGUGUAGCGGUGAAAUGCAUAGAGAUCAUACAGAACCCCGAUUGCGAAGGCAGCUUGCCAGACUCCGACUGACGUUGAGGCACGAAAGCGUGGGGAGCGAACAGGAUUAGAUACCCCAGUAGUC
rnacentral:rRNA from 1 species